ACCGGGGUCUCCGCCGCGUGGCAUGAGCGGAGAUGGCGAGGGCCGAGCAGGGCCUGACUUGCAGACCCUCGGAGGGCUGGCGGGGAGUCCGCUGUCCUGCUCGAUAAGCUUCUGGAGCACACCUCGACAUGUCACCAGACCAAAGGGUGCCGUCCCGGGUUUUUUGGAAAUGCGACGUGUAUUGUUGGGUGGGUCACCCGGAGGCGACAACCUGCAUCUGGUUCGCAAUCUCUUCUUUGUGAUCCCUGAGCCCUCCUGCCCCCCCACCCCCCUUUAAAAGCUCAUGAUUUUUCAGAUAGUUUCAGAAGGAAGGAAACAAAGUACCCAUGAUUACAAGUCUGGAAGGCUUAACUCACCUAGAAAAUGUUUUAAAAGUGGGCGGGGGGGGGAGGAGUAAGGGGAAAGCAGCCCCUGCAAUCGGAGCUGUGUCUCCUCUGUAGGGGUGGGUCUCUGAAACUUUUCCUUCGGAAGAAAAAGGCAGAAGAGGAGACAGGGCAGAGGAUCCCUGAAGGAGAUCGAAUGCAAAAGGCGGUAGUUGGCGAUUGGUGCUGUGAGGAGCCCAGCCCAGCCCAGCCCAGCCCAGCGGGUGCCAGUGGGAACCGUUGGUCCAUGAAGCGGAAAGGGCCAGAAUGGUUCUCAAGAGCUGUCGAGCCCAGUAACAAUUACACAUUCCAUGUGGAGCAAAACAGUAUGGCAAAGAACAGAUAAAACCGCAUCACCACCGAUUUAAAACUCUAGGGAGGAAAGUAAAGAACUUAAGGGCUCAGAUGGUGUUUCAAGGAAAAGCAUUAGGAAAAGAACCAACAGCAACAAGGAAGGCCUGCCUAACAACAUCCAAGGAGGAGGCCCAGAUUAUCUCCUUUCAACAGAGAGGGAAUCUCUGCAAGGAGCCCUGCACCUGUGCCCAAACCAAAAGGCUGUCAGAAGGAAAUAGAUUAGCUUGGCUGGCUCCGCUGAUUUUAUCUGAAAUCAUCUUUAUCUUUAUUGUCCCGAAUUCCUCCACAACUGAGAUGAGCCUACUUGGGAGAAAUUUCACCCAACGCCUUGACCAUCUC